UACAGAGGGUGCGAGCGUUAAUCGGAAUUACUGGGCGUAAAGCGUGCGUAGACGGCUAUCUAAGUCGGGUGUGAAAGCCCCCGGCUCAACUGGGGAGGGUCACGCGAUACUGCUCGACUCGAAGGCAGGAGAGGGAAGUGGAAUUCCCGGUGUAGUGGUGAAAUGCGUAGAUAUCGGGAGGAACACCAGUGGCGAAGGCGACUUCCUGGCCUGUUCUUGACGCUGAGGCGCGAAAGCUAGGGUAGCAAACGGG
rnacentral:rRNA from 1 species